rnacentral:rRNA from 1 species
UACACACAGAUAGUUUGCACACAAAACUAUCCGCCAGAGAACUACAAGCGAAAAGCUCGAAACUCAAAGGACUUGGCGGYGCUCCACAUCACCCUAGAGGAGCCUGUCCUAUAAUCGAUACUCCACGUUCUACCUCACCACCCCUUGCAGUUCAGCCUAUAUACCGCCGUCGCCAGCCCACCCUGUGAGAGAAAUAAAGUGAGCAAAAAAGUUAAUAACUAACACGUCAGGUCAAGGUGUAGCAUAUGGGGCGGAAGAGAUGGGCUACAUUUUCUAUCAUAGAAAACACGAAAGGCUUAAUGAAACACACCCCAAAGGUGGAUUUAGCAGUAAGAUAAAUAAGAAACUUUAUCUUAAGCCCGCUCUGGAGCGCGCACACACCGCCCGU